AGGACGAACGCUGGCGGCGUGCUUAACACAUGCAAGUCGUGGGCACCAGCAAUGGUGACCGGCGAACGGGUGCGUAACACGUAAGCGACCUACCGAUUUGAGGGGAUAGCCGGCCCAACGGCCGGGUAAUACCGCAUACGCCAGGCGAGCUUCAUGGCUUGCUUGGGAAACCUCAGGGGCAAAUCGAGGGGCUUGCGGCCUAUCAGCUAGUUGGCGGGGUAAUGGCCCACCAAGGCUACGACGGGUAGCUGGU
rnacentral:rRNA from 1 species